rnacentral:rRNA from 1 species
AUUGAACGCUGGCGGCAGGCCUAACACAUGCAAGUCGAGCGAGCGGCGGACGGGUGAGUAAUGUCUGGGGAUCUGCCCGAUGGAGGGGGAUAACUACUGGAAACGGUGGCUAAUACCGCAUACUAUCGGAUGAACCCAUAUGGGAUUAGCUAGUAGGUGGGGUAAAGGCUCACCUAGGCGACGAUCCCUAGCUGGUCUGAGAGGAUGAUCAGCCAAACUGGGACUGAGACACGGACCAGACUCCUACGGGAGGCAGGAGGGGGGAAUAUUGCACAAUGGGCGCAAGCCGGAUGCAGCCAGGCCGGGGGUAUGAAGAAGGCCUUAGGGUUGUAAAGUACUUUCAGCGGGGAGGCGUUACCCGCAGAAGAAGAAACGGCUAACUCCGUGCCAGCAGCCGCGGUAAUAC